UUGUUGCAGGUUUUUGACUCACGGAUGUUGCGAAGCAACAUCUGUGAGUCUUUGUGGUUUACUUGAGUGGGGGCAGUUAAACAAUGGGAAAUGACCAGCCUGCUUUGCGCGCAGUGUUUGCCUGCGAACGGGUCUUUUGGAACCGAAAAUUGGGCUGGAGCACGCUUCACGUUCUUUUCAACUUUUGACUUUUUGACAAGCGUAUGUUAAAUUAAAAGGUGAGUGUUUCGUUUUUGUUUAGUUGACUUAAUUGUUAUCUGUUUUUCUACUUCACCCAACAGAUCUGCUGUUAACACACUGAUCUACCUUUUAGCUGAAAUAUUAACAAUAUUUUGUUCAAUAUAUAUACAAGUGUUGACAUUUUCUGGUGCCUUUCGAGCGCCUCUGUCAGCUGUGUUUCAACACCGUUUCAACACUGUUUCCAUAGUUUCUGUCGAUUGAAAGAGUUUUUUGUUUACCAAAUUUAAUCAUGUUAUUUAAAUAAUUCAUGUUUUAGCUGUCACGGAAUACAAAGGACAUAUUUGUCUUACUUGAAGCAACACGACACAAAAUCUUGGUAUUAAAGUCACGUUGCCGUUGUAUAUUUCAUGACUGCGCUUGCACUGUAGCCUAGUAUCAGCUGGCACGCACGAGUCUCAGCAGGGUAUCGAUAAAUCGCUUCAUUUUUAUCCUCUAUCAGGAGAAUUUCAGCUGUCCUUUAU